AUGUUCCGACGAACACCGUCAGGAAGCACACAACAACACCCAAAUCGCUCACCCCAGAACGCGACCACCCCAACCGAUAAUAGACCUUUGCUCCGACCAACCUUGCAACACCGCCGAAAACGCCUAAAGCUUCUGUCGUCGAUGCAACCCCGCGGAUCCACUCUGACACAUCACGGCGCACACAUCAACAACCCCCAAAUCUCGCUCAGUACUACUGCAACCGCUGUCAUCAUCACUCACUGUCGCGAAUGCGCUGGCGUCGCAAAACCAUACCACUGGCACAAGUCACGAUUCCGACAUCUUUGA